rnacentral:misc_RNA from 1 species
GAUAUGCAUUUUAUAUUGCUGUAUGACUGAGGAAAAAUCAUUCUAAGCUUUGUAAACUUUUCAAGUGUGAGGUGUUUAGCUGUUCCAGAUUGCCAUUUUAUUUUAUGGUGUUUUUGUUUUGAGGCUUUCUUUAUAUUGAUUUUGGAGGCAAUCUUUAGUUCAUUUGUUGCUAGUGCUUGCAAUGUAUGUAAAAAGCCUUGACGAUAUGCUAGUGCUUGGGGUUGGGCCUACCUCUACCAAUUAUAAAAGCGCUGGGUGAUGAAUUGUCAAAUAGACUAAACAUUGAAUUCCUUGUACCAGCUGAAACGUAUCCUGUACUAAGGAAUUCAAG